AAUUCUCAACCUCUUUCAGCUCUUGUGGCUGAUUUGUGAUGGUUUGGAUAUGGAGGUCUCUGCUGGCAGCCCAUUUGCUAGGUCAGCUCCUCUGAAAUGCAUUAGCAGAACCAUUUGCGAUCUGUCAAUGGUAUGAUAAUUAUCAAUGCCAGUAAGAUUGCUCUCUGUUUUGUUCUGCUUCUAAUAGUCCCAAUAGGACAAGCUUUUGCUACUGAACCU
rnacentral:misc_RNA from 1 species